AUUGAACGCUGGCGGCAGGCCUAACACAUGCAAGUCGAGCGGAUGAAGGGAGCUUGCUCCUGGAUUCAGCGGCGGACGGGUGAGUAAUGCCUAGGAAUCUGCCUGGUAGUGGGGGAUAACGUCCGGAAACGGGCGCUAAUACCGCAUACGUCCUGAGGGAGAAAGUGGGGGAUCUUCGGACCUCACGCUAUCAGAUGAGCCUAGGUCGGAUUAGCUAGUUGGUGGGGUAAAGGCCUACCAAGGCGACGAUCCGUAACUGGUCUGAGAGGAUGAUCAGUCAAAAUGGAAAUGAGAAAGGGUCAAGAAUCAAACGGGAGGAAGAAGGGGGGAAUUUGGGAAAAGGGGGGAAAGCCUGAACCGACAAGGGCGGGGGGUGAAAGAAGGUUUUGGGAUUGAAAAGCAUUUUAAGUUGGGGGGAAGGGAAAAAAGUUAAAACCUUGCUGUUUUGACGUUACCAACAGAAAAAGCACCGGCAAACUUCGG
rnacentral:rRNA from 1 species